rnacentral:misc_RNA from 1 species
UGAAACGGAUCCAAGAGCUCAACAAAACGCACUAAAUAAAAUAGAACUGGCGAUUGUGAAACUGAAUGACGUGAACAUAAAACGCCUUGAAUCAUAAAAAUUCCUUUUAAAAUUCUAACAUUCCAACGAUCCCAACCUCUAACAGCUAUUUAAAAGUGUUUGGGAUCGAUCGAAAUGACGUGUAAAAUGAGAAAUUUAAGUGUAAACAGAUCUUUUUGUGGUUAUUGAUAUUUUUAUCCGUUUAACGGAAAUUGUGUUUUGUUCGUGACAACCCUGAUUGCAUUGUUUAUUCCGCGAUUUUAACCUAGAUCUUAAUAAAAUGCACCCGAGUAGGCGGAGAAAGAAGCGUACCAGCUAUGGAAUAAGGACAGUGGAAGUGAUGAGGGGGCCUAAUGGAUUUGGAUUCACGAUAUCCGGACAGCACCCAUGCAUUAUAAAAUGUAUUGUCAGUAAUUCCCCAGCAGACCAGUCUGGUAUACGCGCUGGAGACUUCCUUAUUUCAGUGAAUGGAUUGUCUGUUUCGAAGAUGGCACACGACGCGGUCGUUAGCCUUAUUGGGAACUGUAUCGGGCCUAUAAAAAUGACCAUAGCUGAGAAUUACUACUCAGAUAGUAGUGACGAAGAGUGUGGUCGAAUGGCUAAUGUUCGAAAACCCAAACAUACUCACAAACCUAGACCAAGACUUCACAAACAGGACCAUGGCAGAGCUGAAAUGGACGUGAAUGACAACAGUUUGGUAAACAUGCAAGAAUCCAUCCUGAAACAAGUCACCAAAGACUCACGACUCAACGGGAGCCAUUGUGUUUAUUUGAAUAACUCUUCCACGAACCCUGUUGAGGAAGAGGCUGGGCCGGUAGAAUACAAAGCUUUGGUUGGAUACUUAGGAACAAUCGAAAUGCCCAAACAGCUGUUGCCCAAUUCCAGGCUACAGACGGUUUGCAGCUGCAUAAAGAAGUUACGGCAAGAAAAAAGAACUCCCACCGCAGUUUUAAUGACUAUAUUGCCAACUUGCCUUACAUUGAAAAAUGCUGCUAAUCACAUUCUUGCAUUAUACCCUACUAACCGUGUUGUUUACGUUGGCUCAACUGCAGACCGUGAAUCUAGAUAUUUCGGGUUGGUAACCAGCGCUGUUUGUGACAUGAGGAGUACUGAGGCUUUAGGUAAACAGUGCAGUAAUAGUUCAUGGCACACAAAACCAAACAAUCUUGAUAAUUCGAUUGCUAUUUCAAAUAGCUGCCAUGUUUUCGUGACGGAUCCGAAGAUCGUUGAUCAUAAUCUACACCAGAAGAAGGCUGAGACUUUCAGAAUCAACUGUACGCCUAAUGAUGUUACGGGAUACUGCCUGGAGUUUCCUUGCAGCUCUCUCUACAUUGUCAGCCUUAUACAAAACAUGUACCAACUACAAAAUAAUGACAAGGUUAUUGAAAACCACGGUCCUGUUAUGGCAAAUUCCCCUCAGCCAAGCGCCUCAAGUAACUCUGAUUCUGGCAUUGGCUUCAGAGAUGAUUGCGGAAAUAUCAGCGAUCGAAUAUUAGUAGUAGAGUUUCCAACUCAGCGACCUUUACCUUUUUCAGGCGUAAAUAACAGACCGACUGGGAUAGAUGCUUCUAGUGUGCCUCUCAAUAGUUUAGAUCGACCUUCAAGUAACGACCAACUGUUUUCCAUUCGUCAGAACAGUCUUGCUUUAAAUAAAAUGGCUACCACUGAUAAGAGUGUAGAUAAGUAUUCUAACAACCUCAGCAAUAUAAGAGCUUGUGAAAGUGUUGAAAAUUCUACAGGGAUAGUCGAUUCAAAAAGUGAUAGGUUGCUGAGCCGAAAUGAUAAUUCAAAGAGGCUGACAUGUCGGGUGAUGCCUGCUUUAAAUGUACUGCCAAACCAGACUUUCAACAUUGAGAAGCAAGGUGAUGGUGAAAUAAAUGGGCAUGGGUACACAGAACGACCUGUUGAUGUUCCAGACUCAAGCCCUAGUAAAAAAUCCUAUGAGUGCAUAUCUUUACAUUCUUUACAGAAUGAUAUUGACUUAAAAAGUGGUUCUAUAGACAACAUUUCCUCUCAAAGUUCCAAAAGUAGCGAGUUUUUCAACUUGCUCAACAUAUUCAAAGUGCCCUUUGAAAGUAGGAAAUCCAAAAAACAAUUGAAAAUGAGUAGUAUGGACAAUUUGGACAAAUACAGUGAGAACAUUAUGAACUAUAAGUUGAGCCCAAAAGUAUUUGGGCUGUCGAAACCAACAUACAGUUGUGAAGACUUGAAAAAUUAUGAAAUUGUUGAUAAGAGUGCUUAUGGCAGUUUAAAAGAUUUGUGGAGCCCAUGCGAUCAACAAAUUGACCGAAAUCUGGCUCAGAGUGAACCUGAUGUUAGGGUUUUUAAUAAUUUGAGAUGGAAACCAUAUGGGUGCUGGUCUGGUGGUGGCGAUGCGGCCGUCCUUCAAGCGAAUCAAUUCGUUCAGGAGAUCGGGGUCACAGCGGCUGCCGAGGAGGCCCGCCUCCAUCUACGCUCCUCCAGACGUCGUCCCCCAGUUCGAUCAGAAUGUGUUCGCCAAAUGCACCAACCCGGAGGGACCUGUCGCUUGGGCUCAAUCGUUCGAGAAACUUCUAGAGGAUUCGCUCGGACUUCAUAUGUUUGCGGAGUUUCUCAAAAAAGAAUUCAGCGCGGAAAACAUCUACUUCUGGACGGCAUGCGAAAGGUUCAAGAAAUUACCACCUGGGAUCGAAAAACAAGCUGAAGCACGCAGGAUUUACGAGCAACACCUCAGCGUCGGAUCUCUCGAAGCCGUUAACGUAGACUCACAAGGAAGGCAGUUCACCGAACAAGUCCUCCAAGAAAUGAAUAACAAUAUGUUCGAUCAAGCCCAGAAACAAAUCUUCAAUCUAAUGAAAUUCGAUAGCUAUCCGAGGUUCUUGAAAUCUGAUAUUUACAAGCAGUGCUUGUUGGGAGAGGUGGAUAAGGCAACGAUUGAUACUAGGUUACUUUUGGAACAGCA